rnacentral:rRNA from 1 species
UACGUAGGGUGCGAGCGUUAAUCGGAAUUACUGGGCGUAAAGCGUGCGCAGGCGGUUCGUUGUGUCGGUGGUGAAAGCCCCGGGCUUAACCUGGGAAUGGCCAUGGAAACUGGCGAACUGGAGUGUUGCAGGGGAGACUGGAAUUCCUGGUGUAGCGGUGAAAUGCGCAGAUAUCAGGAGGAACACCGGUGGCGAAGGCGGGUCUCUGGGCAACAACUGGCGCUGAGGAGCGAAAGCGUGGGGAGCGAACAGG